UGAGGAACAUGACCUUCGGCGGGGGAUAGCUGGCCCAACGGCCGGGUAAUACCGCGUACGACCACAUGGGGACAUCCCUGAGUGGUGAAAGCAGCAAUGCGCCGAUGGAGUGCCUCGCGGCCUAUCAGCUAGUUGGUGAGGUAACGCUCACCAAGGCGACGGACGGGUAGCUGGUCUGAGAGGAUGGCCAGCCANAGUUGGGACUGAGACACGGCCCAGACUCCCGUAACGGGG
rnacentral:rRNA from 1 species